rnacentral:lncRNA from 1 species
AAAGCACUAGCAUCUUUCUACACAGGAAAAGGAACUGUCUGCACUGUUAAGAGCCCCAUCUCUUUGCUGGGCUCAGCAAAUCUUGUGAGGCAGAGAGAAAAUGCCUAUGAGAUACCAUAAAUAUGGGAGGUGACUGACCAGCCAGAGAACUGCUGACCAGACUGGUGCAGAGGACAGGACCACAAAAGACAUGGUCGAGAGCAGCCUGGGAUUGAACAUUGUCAGUGCCAUCGUCUCAGGGAUUGGGAUCUAUUUACUUCUGGGCAGUUUAGGCACUACAUUUAUCUUCUUUCAUCUUUAUGCCACUGAGUCUGAUGUCUAUCCUAUGGCCUUCUCCAUCUUACUUGUCACCCUCACGAUGCCUUUCUCUCCCUAUGUGCCAGAAGUCCCAGCUGCUGCAACCCACAAAGAAGGGUUGGUGAUUCAGGGCUCAGAUGCUGUUGAGGACAAGUCCCCAGGAAGCCAUCUGGAUUUUGGCAUUCGAACCACGAGCUUCCCCAUCGCCAUGGAUGGUACUUUCUUGGAAUAGAUAUUUCUCAACUAAAGACAGGAAACUGAUUACAUUUUUGUGAAAAUCUUUGAUAGAAGUGCAACCCCAGUCAGUUAUAGGCUCUUUCUCACUUCCCUUUCCUGACACGAGAACAGUCCACUAGUUUCUUCAGGGCUUGUCCUGGACAGCAUCAGCAGAACCUUCAGUGGCUCACCCUUGUCCUCAGUUUCCCCUAAGCGUCAGUCACUGUGGCAGGAUGAGGAGGAUCAGGGUCACAGAAGGGCAGAAGGAGGGGGAAGAUGAAUGGAUUUAGAAAGGAAGGGGACUAUUACAUUACAUCGAGUCCACUUACCCUUACUUUGAAGAUAAGGAAACUGAUGCCCAAAGAGGAAAAGUGACUAGCUCAAGGUCACACAAAUUGUAAGUAGCACAGCUGGGAUUGAAUCUUUGAUUCCAAAGAAAUAAUCUUUAUACUAUGGCACAGUCCCUCCCAUGCAGAUGAAGGGGAGAAAAGGGGGCCAUAAGGAAAAUUCUCCAGCCUCGGGAAUUUCUGCUGCCAUUACUGGCAGGAGUGGGUCCAGUGAUUCUCCACCAAAAUCCUGGGAUCCAUAUUCUAUGCCCUUGUAUCUGCUCUACCUCAUCCCUCUCCAGGGCUGACCCCAGGCAGGAAGACAGGUCAAGACACAACGAUCGACUUCCUUUUCUAGGGACCUCUGGGGAU